rnacentral:rRNA from 1 species
AUGAACGCUGGCGGCGUGCCUAAUACAUGCAAGUCGAGCGAACGGACGAGAAGCUUGCUUCUCUGAUGUUAGCGGCGGACGGGUGAGUAACACGUGGAUAACCUACCUAUAAAACUGGGAUAACUUCGGGAAACCGGAGCUAAUACCGGAUGAUAUUUUGAACCGCAUGGUUCAAAAGUGAAAGACGGUCUUGCUGUCACUUAUAGAUGGAUCCGCGCUGCAUUAGCUAGUUGGUAAGGUAACGGCUUACCAAGGCAACGAUGCAUAGCCGACCUGAGAGGGUGAUCGGCCACACUGGAACUGAGACACGGUCCAGACUCCUACGGGAGGCAGCAGUAGGGAAUCUUCCGCAAUGGGCGAAAGCCUGACGGAGCAACGCCGCGUGAGUGAUGAAGGUCUUCGGAUCGUAAAACUCUGUUAUUAGGGAAGAACAUAUGUGUAAGUAACUGUGCACAUCUUGACGGUACCUAAUCAGAAAGCCACGGCUAACUACGUG